ACUCCUACGGGAGGCAGCAGUGGGGAAUAUUGCACAAUGGGCGCAAGCCUGAUGCAGCCAUGCCGCGUGUGUGAAGAAGGCCUUCGGGUUGUAAAGCACUUUCAGUCGUGAGGAAGGUAGUGUAGUUAAUAGCUGCAUUAUUUGACGUUAGCGACAGAAGAAGCACCGGCUAACUCCGUGCCAGCAGCCGCGGUAAUACGGAGGGUGCGAGCGUUAAUCGGAAUUACUGGGCGUAAAGCGCAUGCAGGUGGUUUGUUAAGUCAGAUGUGAAAGCCCGGGGCUCAACCUCGGAAUAGCAUUUGAAACUGGCAGACUAGAGUACUGUAGAGGGGGGUAGAAUUUCAGGUGUAGCGGUGAAAUGCGUAGAGAUCUGAAGGAAUACCGGUGGCGAAGGCGGCCCCCUGGACAGAUACUGACACUCAGAUGCGAAAGCGUGGGGAGCAAACAGGAUUAGAUACCCUGGUAGGAUAGCC
rnacentral:rRNA from 1 species